CCCUGGGCGUCACGCCGCGCUCUCCGGCGCCUUUUUCCUGGAGUGUCCACCUCCAGACCCGUCUCGGCCUCACUUCGUGCGGCUCCCCGAAGCCCAGGAGCGUGCAGUCCAGGUGCAAAGAAAACGCUACGGGCAGGGAGGAAAACCGGGGUCCUGCCGGCUCCAACAACCCGCCCCCUUCUCCCGCCACCUCAACGCCUGGUCCGCUCUGUCCAACCGGUCAGCCGCUCUGCGAUUGCACCAUUUUCUUCGCGGCCCGCCCGGGUGCAGAGACGCCGGCUGCCUGGGCAGCAGCACGCAGCGAAUCCGGUACCAGCCUCGGCGUCGGAUGAUCAGGCUCCUGGCACGCGACGGUCGCCGAGCCUUCUUAAAGAUAAACCGCACCAUUUCCCAGGCACGAAAUGUCUCAGCCUUAUUCUCUGACGAGGCAAGUCAAUGGUGUCUAGCUAAGAUUGUCAAGCAUGCGGCAAUUACAGGUACAUGCAACAUGUCAAGAUAUAGGUAUCCUUACAAGAGGGAAGCAAUGGGAUAUCUAACAAAAUAGAGAGGAGCAAUAAGAAGAACCAGGGCAAUAUUUGAAGAUGCUGGCUUUCGAGUGAUGUGGCCACAGGCCAGUGAGUGGUUGCAGCCACCAGAAGUUGGAAGAGUCAAAGAACUGAUCCUCCUCUGGAGUCUCUGGAGGGAGUACAACCCUGUCCACAUCUUGAUUGUAAUACAGUGACAAUGAAUGUGAAUAUAUGACCUCCAGAAUGUACCAAAUUUAUGGCACUUUGUUACAGUAACCUCCAGAAAUUAAUAUGGACUCUAUGAAUUUGACUUAUUGAGAAUCAUAAUAAAUGUUCUUAAACAGCCACCUGCCAC
rnacentral:lncRNA from 1 species